UACGUAUGGAGCAAGCGUUAUCCGGAUUUACUGGGUGUAAAGGGAGCGCAGGCGGUCUGGCAAGUCUGAUGUGAAAGGCCGGGGCUCAACCCCGGGACUGCAUUGGAAACUGUCAGACUGGAGUGUCGGAGAGGUAAGCGGAAUUCCUAGUGUAGCGGUGAAAUGCGUAGAUAUUAGGAGGAACACCAGUGGCGAAGGCGGCUUACUGGACGAUGACUGACGCUGAGGCUCGAAAGCGUGGGUAUCGAACAGG
rnacentral:rRNA from 1 species